rnacentral:rRNA from 1 species
GAUGAACGCUGGCGGCGUGCCUAAUACAUGCAAGUCGAGCGAACAGAUGAGGAGCUUGCUCCUCUGACGUUAGCGGCGGACGGGUGAGUAACACGUGGAUAACCUACCUAUAAGACUGGGAUAACUUCGGGAAACCGGAGCUAAUACCGGAUAAUAUAUUGAACCGCAUGGUUCAAUAGUGAAAGACGGUUUUGCUGUCACUUAUAGAUGGAUCCGCGCCGCAUUAGCUAGUUGGUAAGGUAACGGCUUACCAAGGCAACGAUGCGUAGACGACCUGAGAGGGUGAUCGGCCACACUGGAACUGGGACACGGUCCAGACUCCUACGGGAGGCAGCAGUAGGGAAUCUUCCGCAAUGGGCGAAAGCCUGACGGAGCAACGCCGCGUGAGUGAUGAAGGUCUUCGGAUCGUAAAACUCUGUUAUUAGGGAAGAACAAAUGUGUAAGUAACUAUGCACGUCUUGACGGUACCUAAUCAGAAAGCCACGGCUAACUACGUG